rnacentral:rRNA from 1 species
UACCAGCUCUCCGAGUGGUAGGGAUGUUUAUUGGGCUUAAAGCGUCCGUAGCCGGCUUAGCAAGUCUCCUGUUAAAUUCAGCGACCUAAUCGUUGAGCCGCGGGAGAUACUAUUAGGCUAGGAGGCGGGAGAGGUCAACGGUACUUCCGGGGUAGGGGUGAAAUCCUAUAAUCCCGGGAGGACCACCAGUGGCGAAGGCUGUUGACUAGAACGCGCUCGACGGUGAGGGACGAAAGCUGGGGGAGCGAACCGGAUUAGAUACCCGGGUAGUCCCAGCUGUAAACGAUGCGAGCUAGGUGUUGGGGUGGCUACGUGCCACUUCAGUGCCGCAGGGAAGCCAUUAAGCUCGCCGCCUGGGGAGUACGGCCGCAAGGCUGAAACUUAAAGGAAUUGGCGGGGAGCACCACAAGGCGUGAAGCUUGCGGUUC